CUUACAGCACAUACUGGACAGAAUGAAAGCAUAAAGCAUACAUAGCCUGGUGCCCUGAUUUCAUGGUACUCGAGCUGCUACCGAGUACCGAUACGAUGGCUCGCUCUCUUACGACGCCACAUUGCACCGAAGGAGUGAUUUGGACGACCUUGAGCAAGGUAGCAGAUGCAUGGAUCAGGGCCACGGAUCGACUCCCUCAAGUCAGAGACCAAGGUACCUUGUAGACGGCGGAGCCAAAUGCGUAUGCGCGCCUGACUCAGAAAAUAAACAGCCGUUUUGUUCGCUACUACGAAGCUGGAACCACGGAAGCAAAAGGUGCGCCAGGGCCAAGGGCAGCAGCAAGUUGAGAGAAAUUCAUGAGCAUUUCAAUCGUUGGAGAUGGAAUAGCUGCUCCUGUCUUUUUUCUAGA